UUAACGGUGAGACUGUAGUCCAGCAGAAUGGCGAGCCCCUGUCUUUAGCCCUCGCCACAGAAUCAACUGAUCCUGAUGUUGUGAUGGUCGAAUCAGACGGAAAACCUGCUGACGCUCAAACUGUUUCUGCAAUCCUUGAAACCAUCAUCCAGAAGGAAGAGGUCAAGGAAAGAAAUGAACAUCAACCAGAUGUAAGUCUUCCUGUCCCCGAUCCACAGCCGGAGACAGCUGACCUAAAGCAAGAAUCAGAAUCACUAACGGAGCCGAAGAGUGAGACUCUAGACGCGGGUCAACCUGAGGAAAACCAAGAGGACAGUAAAGAAGAAGAGAAUCCAGUUAUGAACUUCUUCAAAACACUAGUUGCACAAGUAUCUGAGCCGCCAGCAGCACUCAAAGGAAUGUCUAUCCCCCCACCACCUCCUCCAGAGCCACCGAAAAUGGAAAUUAAGGGAGAAACAGCUGCCAAACCUGUCAAACCCACACCCAAAGAAGAACCCAAAGCUGCUGCAAAGACACCCGAGUCCUCAAAAGGAAAAUCGGCCAGAUCCACUCUGAGCAAUCUCUUCCGUCCAAAGGUGCUGCUAGGUGUCAAGGUGUUCAAAUGCAAGGGCGCUUCAGCAAGUGGAGCCAAAGCCCCGGCCAAGACCGCAGCAGUGAAGGUGGAUCCCUCAAAAACUGGCACUCUGGAAGCUGCCGCAAAGCCAGAACCGCCACCGCCAGUUCAGGAGGAAAAGAAAAAAGCUUCAAAAUCAUCCUUCAUGUCUCUCUUCAAGCCCAAAGUACUGUUAGACCACAUGACCACAAAAGUCCAGGCAGCCUCCACAAGUGGAGUUCGGCUCCUCAGGAGAACAGCUGGAGUGGCUGUUGAUCCCAAAAGUGCGACCCCUGCCCCAGCUGCUGCAGCAGAGACGGUUAAAGCCAAGGAGGAACCCAAAGCAGCAGCCAAGUCAUCAGAGGCGGUUGUAGAAAACAAGCCUACAGUGGCCUCCCAAGCUGACGACGAUGCCGCCAAUGUGCCCAAGAAACUGGAGAAGAGGAACUCCAUCCAGCUGUUCUUUAAAAUUCUGGGUCAGAAACGUAACUCGACAGAUGCCGGGGUCCAGACAGAGUCCGCCCCUGUUGCUGCAGGAGCUGAGAAGGCCAAAUGAAACCAAAACCCACAGUGAAGUUUCCCUGUAAAAACUCCCUCUAUCUUCUUUGCUCUUACUCAAUCUUCAUAUCUCUCUCUCUCUGUCUCAUUUUCCCUUUCAACCCUUAUUGAAUUCCUUUAACUACAUGUUGUUGUUUGUGUUACUGUUUAGAAGUUACAAUGCGGGAGGAGAAGUGACUUUAAGGGUAAAAGCAAGUUGUGAGAACGUCAAACAGUGGACAGUUGAACAAGUGGUGAUUUGAAAGGGUCAAAGGCGAGGUUGUUGAGAUAUAUAAUAUUUUUGUUGGUCAUAUAAAUGUCUUGACAAGUAUAGAAAUGUGAGAGUGAAACCUUUUCUACAGACAUUUAAUGUGACUUCUCUCCGUUCUUGCGACCUAACUCGCUGGGCUGAAGCAAUAGACCACGCUUUGCUUUGAGCAAAUUAUUUAAAGAAAAAGGUUCUAUUUACAGAAACCAGACAGAAAUCAUACAGUUGUGGCAAAGUAGGUGUUAAUAUGAAAUUACAUUGAAAAAAAAGUACUUAAAUCUAUAUGACAUGAAAAUGACCAGCUGAUAACAGGAGCAUAUUUGUUUAACAAACUUCACUUACAGAUUUUUUUUAACUUUAUGCAAGCUACACGUAGACUAAAGCAUAUACUCACGUAUCCUAACAGUCAUGUAUUGGGCCAUAUGGGAAAAUCACAAUAUUUACUGUUCUGUGGGGAACUGAUUGUAAGUGUAACAGAUGCAUCUGAGGUGGCAAAACAAAAGGUGUAGUCAUAAAUCACAGUCGAUUAGCUUUUAAUUUGAUUACACUUUGUGUCGUGUAUUUUAACGGAAGUCUUAUGGUGUUAGUCAUUUGUGUUUGGCAUACGUGCAAUUAAUAUAAUGCUUUUGUUUGCCUACAUGUAUGUAUGCGUGUGUAUGUGUAACUUCAGCUAUCUUGAAGACAAUAAACAUGUUCACCAUUUGUUUGUUGUUCAUCAGUGAAGAGGAACGAGAAUAACUGGGUGUUGCGACAACUGCAGAAUAUGUGGAUCAGCAAGUUUGGCAAAAAUAAAAUCAUAUGCUACACUUCCAAAUCUUUUUUUGAUGUACACAAGAUAAAGCAUUAUACUUGUGAGCUAAGAGGGAGU
rnacentral:lncRNA from 1 species